UGCAAACAGGACUAGAGAUAAACUCUAUGGGU
rnacentral:piRNA from 1 species